rnacentral:lncRNA from 1 species
CCUUCUUAGUGCUCCUUGAAUUAUAUUGAGCAUGUUAUUGUUGUUGUUGUUUGCAUGGUUGAUUAUAGAGUGUUUGAAUUGAUGUUACACUCUUAGCACUGUAAAAGUAACCUCAUUCGAGGACGAAUGUUCCCAAGGGGGAGAUAUUGUAACAUCCGACAAUUUGAAAUAGCUAAGAAGAGGCUUAGAAUUUGAAAUUUUUCAUUUUUGGAAAGGAUUUGAAAAAUCUGGAAAAUUGGCUAAGUGUGGAAAUCAGUGGUUUUUGGCCAACUUUGAGCAGUCAUAACUUCCAGCUCAGGAUGAGUUAGGAGUAGUUCCAGUUAUGGUUGUGAAGCUUGUGGAAUGAUCUUUCCAACGCCGCCGAGUUUGCUCAAUUCCGAGUUCGUAUGAGCGAGUUAUGGCCCUUUGAAAGUUGGGCAGUUGAC